CCCCGGAAUGAGGCUUUAGCGCAACUACAAACACCCGGCCAACAGUUAAAAGAUCAUCAGUGAAUCCCUCCUAAUGGCGCUUUCUGAAGGUUCUCCAUCAUUUACGCAGCUGCUCAGAGGUUUAAACGAUCUGGAACAGACAGCGUUAGAAGGGGAUUCUCAGACGCAAAACGCAUGCAGCCAAUCCCCAUCACACUAUUUCUGACCCAACAUACAGCCAAGAAGGAUAACGGGCUCCUUAUGGAUCCUGAACGACUUCGUUGGAGCAGAUGACACAUCCGAUGACACAGAUGCAAUUCUCCCGUUCUGUGCGAACGUUUUUUCAAACACACCGAGAACAGAGGAUUUAAACGUCCCGCCAACUCCCCCGGGAACCUCCACCCCCUCACUACAUAUUCCAGACCCAAACAAGCAACGCACAACACGGGCUCUAGUACAUUGCUCAGAAUCCACCCCUCCAGAAAAGUACUACUGGGCAGGGAACUUGCAGCUUCACGAGCCGGCGCUCCAUGGACACGGUAUGAAGCCAUUAUAUAUAUAUAUAUUAUUAGUUAUACAUUUUUUAGGCUUGAA